UACGAAGGGGGGCUAGCGUUGUUCGGAAUUACUGGCGUAAGCGCGCGCAGGCGGGAAGAUAAGUCUGGAGUGAAAUUCCGGGGCUCAACUCCGGAGCUGCUUUGGAUACUGUCUUUCUAGGGACCGGUAGAGGCCGGUGGAAUUCCCGGUGUAGCGGUGGAAUGCGUAGAGAUCGGGAAGAACACCCGUGGCGAAGGCGGCCGGCUGGGCCGGAUCCGACGCUGAGGCGCGAAAAGCGUGGGGAGCAAACAGG
rnacentral:rRNA from 1 species